CCGGUGACGUAGAUCGCAAAUAUGUGUACACAACCAUGUGUUCAAUGACGCUUACUAAAUAGCAGUGUCCAAAACUGUCAAAGCUUGUUAUGAACGGAAGCUAAGAUGAUGGAGUCUGUAGGAAAAAGAAAGUGUCAGAGUCAGAAAAAGAGUCGGCCAGAAGAGGUACAGAGAGAGACUGAAAAUGCAGGGAAAGGCAGAUAAUGAGUGGAAACCUGAAGACCCGGUAACACUUGUGAGGAACAGCACAAAAAGUGGAGGGAACAUAAAAGAAUAUGAACCACAAGUGGCACUGAGUGGAGAGCCCCAGACCAAAGAGGGCCCAGCCAUUAUAAGUCAACCUGAGAAACCACAAGUCGCACUUAGUGGAGAGCCUCAGACCAUAGAGGGCCCAGCCAUUUGAAGAGCCCAAUACCAGAGAGGGCCAAGCCAUUAUAAGAGCUCCAGACCAAAGAGGGCCCAGCCAUUAUAAAUCAACCUGAGGAACCACAAGUCACACUUGGUGGAGAGCCUCAGACCAUAGAGGGCCCAGCCAUUUGAAGAGCCCCAUACCAUAGAGGGCCAAGCCAUUAUAAGAGCUCCAGACCAAAGAGGGCCCAGCCAUUAUAAGUCAACCUGAGGAACCACAAGUGGCACUGAGUGGAGAGCCCCAGACCAAAGAGGGCCCAGCCAUUAUAAGUCAACCUGAGAAACCACAAGUCGCACUUAGUGGAGAGCCCCAGACCAUAGAGGGCCCAGCCAUUAUAAGUCAACCUGAGGAACCACAAGUGGCACUGAGUGGAGAGCCCCAGACCAAAGAGGGCCCAGCCAUUAUAAGUCAACCUGAGAAACCACAAGUCGCACUUAGUGGAGAGCCUCAGACCAUAGAGGGCCCAGCCAUUUGAAGAGCCCAAUACCAGAGAGGGCCAAGCCAUUUUAAGAGCUCCAGACCAAAGAGGGCCCAGCCAUUAUAAAUCAACCUGAGGAACCACAAGUCACACUUAGUGGAGAGCCUCAGAC